rnacentral:rRNA from 1 species
GAUGAACGCUGGCGGCGUGCUUAACACAUGCAAGUCGAACGAAGCACUUUAUUUGAUUUCCUUCGGGACUGAUUAUUUUGUGACUGAGUGGCGGACGGGUGAGUAACGCGUGGGUAACCGGCCUUGUACAGGGGGAUAACAGUUGGAAACGGCUGCUAAUACCGCAUAAGCGCACGGCAUCGCAUGAUGCAUUGUGAAAAACUCCGGUGGUAUAAGAUGGACCCGCGUUGGGUUAGCUAGUUGGUGAGGUAACGGCCCACCAAGGCGACGAUCCAUAGCCGGCAUGGGAGGGUGGUCGGCAACAUUAGGACUGAGACACGGCCCAAACUCCUGAGGGAGGCAGCAGUGGGGAACAAUGCACAAUGGGCGAAUGCCGGAUGCAGCGACGCCGCGUGAGCGAAGAAGUAUGUCGGUAUGUAAAGCUCUAUCAGCAGGGAAGAUAAUGACGGUACCUGACUAAGAAGCACCGGCUAAAUACGU